GUGUCUGUAUGCCAGGGAGGAGCAACUCUCUCCCUCACUUGUGUUUUGAAACAGUCAUUGUCUACUGCUAUGUUUUCUUACCCUCAUCAUGCUGUGACUGAAUAGCACUCGAUCUCUCUGCAUCUUUUCUGUCAUUCUCAGUUCACGUGUAUGUGGCUGCAGUGCUGGAGCAGAAAACAUGGUUGUAACACUGGCACAUGGUGAUGCUGGAGAUACAUCAGCUUCUCCUGACUACGACAGUCAAAUUUAAAGCUGUCCCCAUCAUACCCUUAUACUGAAGGUGGAAAUGAUGAACCAGGAGGAAUUAAAAUCACGCACAAUGCUGGUCACGGGGAAACCUGGAGCCUAUCCCAGGGAGCAUCGGGCACAAGGCGGGGUACACCCUGGACAGGGUGCCGAUGAAGAGUAGGAUACGUAACAAAUUUCUAACAUCCGAGACAAAACAAUUCAGG
ensembl:lncRNA